GCGUUCAAAAAAAAAUGCGAUUCUAACCGCACUUCCGACGAACCGUCGUCCUCACCUUUAUUCAAUAUGAGAUUGCGAUUACGCACGAGAAAACAGCCGUAAUCAGCGAAAGAUCUGCCAAUCUAACCUUAGUUUAAUAGAAGCUUCGACAGAGGACACCACUUUGGCCUAAUCAAUGACCGCUUUAAAAAAUGUAUAUUUAAAUAUAAUGUCUAGUUAAACAA